GCCGUCACCUGGGAAACGGGAAGCGUUCGCCAGCCCGCCGACCGAAGCUAGUUUCAUGGCAGCCACGAAGAAAGCAGUUUUGGGGCCGUUGGUGGGAGCAGUGGACCAGGGCACCAGCUCGACGCGCUUUUUGGUUUUCAAUUCAAAAACAGCCGAACUACUUAGUCAUCAUCAAGUGGAAAUAAAACAAGAGUUUCCUAAAGAAGGAUGGGUGGAACAAGACCCCAAGGAAAUCCUGCUGUCCGUCUAUGAGUGUAUAGAGAAAACGUGUGAGAAACUUGGACAGCUCAAUAUUGAUAUUUCCAACAUAAAAGCUAUUGGUGUCAGUAACCAGAGGGAAACCACUGUAGUCUGGGACAAGUUAACUGGAGAACCUCUUUACAAUGCUGUGGUGUGGCUCGACCUGAGAACCCAGUCUACCGUUGAGAGUCUUAGUAAAAGCAUUCCAGUAAAUAACAACUUUGUCAAGACCAAGACGGGCCUUCCACUGAGCACUUACUUCAGCGCAGUGAAACUCCGUUGGCUCCUUGACAACGUGAGAAAAGUUAAAAAGGCAGUUGAAGAAGAUAGAGCGCUUUUUGGGACCAUUGAUUCAUGGCUUAUUUGGAGCUUGACGGGAGGAGCCCAAGGAGGUGUCCAUUGUACAGAUGUAACAAAUGCAAGCAGGACAAUGCUUUUCAACAUUCACUCUUUGGAAUGGGAUAAAGAGCUCUGCGAGUUUUUUGAAGUUCCAAUGAAAAUUCUCCCAAAUAUCCGGAGUUCUUCUGAGAUCUAUGGCCUAAUGAAAGCUGGGUCUUUGGAAGGUGUGCCCAUAUCGGGGUGUCUGGGGGACCAGUCUGCUGCAUUGGUGGGACAACUGUGCUUCCAGGAUGGACAAGCCAAAAACACGUAUGGGACAGGCUGUUUCUUACUAUGCAAUACAGGCCAUAAGUGUGUAUUUUCUGAACACGGCCUUCUGACCACAGUGGCUUACAAGCUCGGCAGAGACAAACCAGUAUAUUAUGCACUAGAAGGUUCCGUAGCUAUAGCCGGUGCUGUCGUUCGCUGGCUAAGGGACAAUCUUGGAAUUAUAAAGACCUCAGAGGAAAUUGAAAAACUUGCUAAAGAAGUAGGUACCUCUUAUGGUUGCUAUUUCGUCCCAGCCUUUUCAGGCCUAUAUGCCCCUUAUUGGGAGCCCAGUGCCAGAGGGAUCAUCUGUGGGCUCACUCAGUUCACCAAUAAAUGCCAUAUUGCUUUUGCUGCACUAGAAGCUGUUUGUUUCCAAACCCGAGAAAUUCUGGACGCCAUGAACCGCGACUGUGGAAUUCCACUCAGUCACUUGCAGGUGGACGGGGGGAUGACCAACAACAAAAUUCUGAUGCAACUGCAAGCCGACAUUCUGUAUAUCCCGGUAGUGAAGCCCUCGAUGCCGGAAACAACUGCCUUGGGAGCUGCCAUGGCCGCAGGGGCUGCAGAAGGGGUCAGCGUGUGGAGUCUCGAGCCUGAGGAUUUGUCAGCUGUCACGAUGGAGCGGUUUGAACCUCAGAUCAAUGCCAAGGAGAGCGAAAUUCGUUAUUCCACAUGGAAGAAAGCUGUGAUGAAGUCCAUGGGUUGGGCUACCACUAAGUCUUCAGAAAAUGGUGACACUGGCAUCUUUAGUAGUCUGCCCUUGGGCUUUUUUGUAGUGAGUAGCAUGGUCAUGUUAAUCGGAGCCAGGUACCUCUCAGGUGUGCCAUAAAUAAUACCAACUCCUGGAUCCCAAAGAUCUUGACUUAAGGAGAGAAGUCAGUGGUUCUGUCUCUUAAUGUGCUGACACUAUUCAUAGACUCUGAUUUUAUUUACAAGCCACUUGCUGCAUGACCCUCCAAGUAGACCUGUGGCUUGAAAUAAAGAAAAUGGGGC